rnacentral:lncRNA from 1 species
UCUGUGAAACAAACAGAACACGUGCAGAGUGCUACCAUUUCCUUUUUGAUUGUAGGUUCUUUUUUGCUUGUUCAUUGUUAUUUUUAAUUAUAAACAAGCUUCAGUUUAACUUGGACCCAUCAUAAUAUGAUAAUAUGGGUGUAUAAAUGAAUGUCAUGUUAAGAUGCAGAAACUCUGAAGAUGCAGUCAAGAAAGAACCUCCUGCCAAAGCCUUCUGUUUGUAAAGUCAAGGCUGUUGAGACAAGUGGCUCAUCUCUUCUCUCAGAGGUGAUUCAAGUCACGACAAAGCAUCAAACUCCACCUCUGUCAUCUUGUGGGUCAGGCAAGGUGGAAGCUAAA